GAGGGGCGGGCCGGGUCCCAGUGCAGCAGAGCCGGUGGACCGCAGGCGCUGCGGGCUCAGCUCCCAUGCGGGCGCAGCUCUGGUUGGAGGCUGGGACACGGCUCUGGCAGUGGCUUCUGGAUGGAGCGAUGACUGGACGGUGAGUGAUGCCCGGGCAGGAGUGUUAGUGGGCGUCCAUGGAGCACCACACCCCCGAGCCCCGGGCUGUCACCCGGCAGAUGCGCUGGAGCCUGGGCACUUGUGCCCUUUGACCGUUGCGCGCGGAGUCUCCUCCCACUGCCAGCCUGGCGCAUUGCGGGCUUCGGGCCCAAAGCUUUCAAUGGGCACUGUGCCUGGCACCUCCUUCAAG
rnacentral:lncRNA from 1 species